rnacentral:lncRNA from 1 species
AAACUUAAUACGCGUACUAAGGUUUUGACGAUGUAAACUAAGCCAUUGUCGCGUAGCGUGCGAACCAGUGCUAACGUGUGUUUGCGUGUGUUGUGUUACAAUUAAUCUUCUCAUAAUUAAUUGUGCCGGACGCUUCCUGCAAUUAACACUCGGAUAUAAGGGUAUAUUCAAACAAAAGAUUUAAUUCGACAGAUUUAGGUCCAUAAAAUAUUGCUGGAAACGCAUCUCCAAUUCCGAUAAGAGAUAAUUUAUUCGCAUGAAACGUAAUUUUUGAAGAUUUUCCAACAGAUAGACAGAAUAAUAAUUAAGAUUUUUAGAGAACACGAUAGAGAUUAAAAAGCAAUUAAGACAACAAAAUGAAUUUUUGGAACAAUUAAAACAAAAAAAUGACGCAGUAAUAUUUGCAGCAGCAGGUCCAAGAGAUAAUAAUUUUUUAACUAUCCCUACAAAACCAUUUAAAAAGCAUCGAAAAUUACUGCAGUAUGACACUUCAUUGAAGAAUGAUGAAGAUGGAAAAGAACUGGAAACAUUUUUCUAUUUGCUUGGAGGAGACUCAUCCCAGGAUCAAAUAAAACAUAGCUUGGAAAAAAAUGUUUUCCAAUAAAUUGGCUAUAAAAUGCUCAUGGAAAGGCCAGAAAGGAAACUUUGCCAUAAAUUCACUUCUUCUAAUAGAUAUUAUAAAAAGCAAGACUUUCUGCAUUAAUCUAACCUAACCUAACCUUACCUAACUUGAAACAAAAUUAUAUAAAUCAACUUAUUAAACUUUAAUUUUUUUUACGUUUUAUAAAGGCUGCUCGAAAGCAUUAUCUGAUGUUAAUAGAUAGACACUUUCUAAAUCAUGUUUCCGCCUGGUUAAAUAUGCUAAAACACGUUAUGAUAGAGAGCAGGCAAAAGCACUUAGAAAGCAGAUAGAAUAACCAGUAGACUUCGGAUUAUAUGCACAAAAAAUUUAAUACAUAUGCGCAUAUAUAUGCACGGAUUUUUACAAAUAUUUACCAAAAAUAUGCAAAAAUUUGUUAAAAAUUGUAAAGAAUAUGCAGAUAUAUAUUUAUAUUUAUAAAUGUUUUAUUUAAUUGGGUAUUUUUAUAAUAUUUCAAAUCUUUAGGAACAGAUGCAACAUAAAAUAGGAAAUAAAGAAGCUUUAAUCAAAUAA